UCUGUGCAGUUCUGCCAAGGAAGUCUCGA
rnacentral:piRNA from 1 species